rnacentral:rRNA from 1 species
UACGUAGGGUGCAAGCGUUAAUCGGAAUUACUGGGCGUAAAGCGUGCGCAGGCAGUUUUGUAAGUCUGACGUGAAAUCCCCGGGCUCAACCUGGGAAUUGCGUUGGAGACUGCAAGGCUAGAAUCUGGCAGAGGGGGGUAGAAUUCCACGUGUAGCAGUGAAAUGCGUAGAGAUGUGGAGGAACACCGAUGGCGAAGGCAGCCCCCUGGGUCAAGAUUGACGCUCAUGCACGAAAGCGUGGGGAGCAAACAGG